UUCGUAGGCGGUGUGGCAAGUCGGGAGUGAAAUCUCUGGGCUCAACUCAGAGGCUGCUUCCGAAACUGCUGUGCUGGAGUGUGGGAGAGGCGCGUGGAAUUGCAGGUGUAGCGGUGAAAUGCGUAGAUAUCUGCAGGAACACCCGUGGCGAAAGCGGCGCGCUGGACCACUACUGACGCUGAGGAACGAAAGCUAGGGGAGCAAACAGGAUUAGAUACCCUGGUAGUCCUAGCCCUAAACGAUCAGGACUUGGGGUGCCACCCGUUCGGGUGUCGUCCCGGAGCUAACGCGUUAAGUCCUGCACCUGGGGAGUACGGUCGCAAGACUGAA
rnacentral:rRNA from 1 species